AUUGAACGCUGGCGGCAGGCCUAACACAUGCAAGUCGAACGAGUGGCGGACGGGUGAGUAAUGUCUGGGAAACUGCCCGAUGGAGGGGGAUAACUACUGGAAACGGUAGCUAAUACCGCAUACCAUCGGAUGUGCCCAGAUGGGAUUAGAUUGUAGGUGAGGUAACGGCUCACCUAGGCGACGAUCCCUAGCUGGUCUGCGAGGAUGACCAGACAAACUGGAACUGAGAAAAGGUGCAGACUACUACGGGAGGCAGCAGUGGGGAUUAUUGCACAAUGGGUGGAAGCCUGAUGCAGCCAUGCCGCGUGUAUGAAGAAGGCGUUCGGGGUGUAAAGUACUUUCAGCGGGGAGACGUUGACCGCAGAAGAAGCACCGGCUAACUCCUAGCCAGCAGCCGCGGUAAUUC
rnacentral:rRNA from 1 species